rnacentral:snoRNA from 1 species
UGGAGUGAUGUGAUGAGCUCAUAGUUCAUAUGACCACCUGAUUGUGUGUGCGUUUUUGUCUUUCGCCCCUAGCUGAUUCACUCCA